AUGAACGACACGGUAACUAUCCAAACUACAAAGUUCAUGACCAACCGACUACUUCAGGGGAAACAAAUGGUCAUUGAUGUCCUUGACCCCAGGAAGGCAACAGUGCCUAAGACAGAAAUUUAGAGUGCCUAAGACAGGAAAAACUAGCCAAAAUGUACAAGACCACACCAGAUGUCAUCUUUGUAUUUGGAUUCAGAACUCAUUUUGGUGGUGGCAAGACAACUGGCUUUGGCAUGAUUUAUGAUUCCCUGGAUUAUGCAAAGAAAAAUGAACCCAAACAUAGACUUGCAAGACAUGGCCUGUAUGAGAAGAAAAAGACCUCAAGAAAGCAACGAAAGGAAUGCAAGAACCCAAUAAAGAAAGUCAGGGGGACCGCAAAGGCCAAUGUUGGUGCUGGCAAAAAGUCGAAGAAGUAA
rnacentral:lncRNA from 1 species